rnacentral:lncRNA from 1 species
CCUAAUCCCCUUUUCUCUCCUCUCUCGUUUUCUCUCUUCCACGGUAGCAGUUUAGAGCGGCGACAGGGGCCAGCGAGACAUGAUGGCAGAGGCUAGUUCUUGAGACCAUGGCUGUGUUUUUUGGCAUUUUCUGCCCUAAUAAUGGUUACCCUUAAGCUUUAAGUUGCCACGGCCACAUGGUACUGAAAGGGGUAAAAGUGUGAUUCCACGGUAACACCAAAUAAAUAAAAAGAAGCCGCAACAACCUGAAACACUCUACCCGCGUGAUUCGGCCGAAAAGCGAAGUUCAUAGUUCAUCACCAUCUCAUCAUUUGACCAACCACCUUCGAACUUAAGCCCUCUCCUCCAAAGGGCGAAACAGAUAUUUGUGUUUCCUUAUCUAGUUGCAAACUGCUACCCAUUGAGUUUCACUGUUUGAGUUGAUGAAUGAGAUUGAUUAUCUUGCUUGAUCACGAGGACCAUAAAGAGCCGCUAUAGUCUUCUCUUCACACUAUUUGGUAAGCAUCUGUAUCUGAGCUUUUGGAGUAAUCGGUUUUUUGUUAUAAAGGGAGUCGUUAUUAUGCUGGCUUUCUACAACUAACUGAGUACUUCUAAGAUAAUAAGCUUAGGAUCAGUGCUUCAAAUUGCGGAUCAGAUCAUAUGAUGUGGCAACAAUAUUGUGUUUGUGGUGACGGCUGCAACCGCAUUACAUCACAAUUGUGGUGUGACACUGAUUCACGAUGACGUGGCUGCACCGGGCUGCAAUACAUCACCAUCAGAAUGCAUUUCGGUCACAUAAGGCUGCAUCAGACCUGAUCAAAUUCAAAAAUAUUUUUUUAAAUCACAACAUAAUUAUCAUCCCACAAUCUGCAUCACAACGGCCACAGUUGCAGUAACCGCAACCAUGACUGAAAUCCCGACCACAACCGCAAUUAAAACACGGCUAAUGAUAUUUGUCUCUGUAUGAUUUAUAAUUGAUCUUCAUAAAUGUUUGUUUUUUCUGCCUGAUAGUUUCAUUUUGAAAACAAGUAUAGCCACAGCAGUUGCGAGUUUUGUCAUUGCAAAGUCACCACAACAAUAAUCUAAAACCAUAAAUCUGCUAACAAACUGAUACAGUGAUAAGUUAGUUUCAUAUCAUCGAUGGAAUAGGAAAAUGUCCCUGUCAGAAUUUAUCCAUGUUCCUUUUGGAUUCCUGGAUUUUAUAUUCCCUAUCAGACGGCUUUUAAUUCAGUUGAACAGGCUUUUGUCUUCAGUUUUAGUUGUUCAGCAGCAAGUUAUUUUGGACCGCAGGUUUUGGCUGGUCUAACAAUUCGCUUUUCUUGUUAGCUUGUUAGUCCAGAAUCCUUCAAGGGGAGAGAGUGGAUGUAAAAUAUUUAUUUUCAUUUAAUUUUGAAAGAGUGUUGUUCUCUACUCCUAUGUGUGUGUAUGUUUUUGAACCAUCUUUCUUUUUAGUGACGGACCCAGGAAUGUUUAGGUAGUAGGGGCAAAGGCAAUAACCGAGUACAAAUAUAUUGGAGUGAAAAUGACAAAUGGCUUUCAUGUGUAGUAAAUUAAUUCCGAAGUUGAGUGGGUGUGUCCCCAACAUCUCUACUGUGGGUCCGUCCCUGCUUCAUAUACAUUUCAGGGACGGGAAUGCAUGCCAUAUCCUUAUGAUUUACUGAAGUGAAGUCGAGCUAGAAUGAGCAGAACUGGUUAACAACUUAGGACUUAGUGAAGUAAUGAUACCAAUUACGCUGUCUUGACUUGUUACUGUUUCAGGCUAAAUCACCCUCAAGACUUAUCAUUACUGGUUUCAGCAAUAUAGGCUUGCCCUUCCUUCUUCAAAGAGGUCAAUUUCAUGGAUGACAGUCCUCCAAGGUUAAAGAUUAUUCCUGAUCAUUUUCAAGUUCCAGCAUCAAGUUUUGAAUCUCCUGAGAACAGAACACCAACUAUUAUAGAACCUGGAACUGAUCAAUUUUCAAGUUCAAGGUCCUCCUUCCAUUUGAGGACUCGGAGAAAAUUAAGGAAGGCUUUCAUGUUGAAAUUGUUUACUCUCCGUGGGCUGCCGUGGGGGUCCAAUACUGAAGGUCAGGAAAAGGUUGAGUUAACAGCUGCAGAAGUAGAGUCGCUUCAAUCAGAAGUUGCUGAUAUAGAAGAGAGGGAAGCUCACUUGAAAGCUCAGUGAGUGAAUUUGCAAUUUACUUAAGGUUACCAUGCUUCUUUUGUAUGUGUAGCUCUCGGUGUACUAAAAUCAGCGAUAAAAGAAACGAAGAUAGUAUAGUAUGCAUGCUAGCAUUAGAUUGGACAAAUAUGUGGGGAAAUCUUAUUGGCCUUAAGAGACACCAAUGUGUUUUCAGUAAAUGACAAAUGUUUUUCACACAGGUUGGAACACAUUGAUGAAGUUUUGCGAUCAGCUCGUUUAUCUGGCUAUCUAUCCAUUCGAACUGUACUGACAGUCUAGACCCUAAAUUUUGUUGCAUUGGUCUGUGCCUUGUUAUUUUAUUUACCUGACAAGUUUAACACUAUUUCGCUUGUAUCUUUCUCUUAGAGAUGGGCCACACUACCAGGAGAACCUCCACCAAUCGAUGAUAUUGAAGUAGAUGAUUGGCUUCCUCGUUUUGUUGUUCUCCAUGGAGCAUGUAUAUUCUUAUACUUCUUGUGUACAGAUUUAAGCCCUCAGGACUCAACACUUCUAUCUGAUAUUGUUGAAGU